rnacentral:tRNA from 1 species
GCGAGAGUGCUGGAACCGGUAGACAGGCAGGCUUGAGGUGCCUGUGUCUUUUUUCAGGCGUGUGGGUUCAAGUCCCAUCUCUCGCACCA